rnacentral:lncRNA from 1 species
UGGGCACAAAGCGAACUAUUCUUUCGCCUUUUACUAAAGAAUACCGUGUGCUCGUCGCAAACCAGCGGCAUACGCCUAUUUUUGGAGGGGUCUCUCCUACUGGGAGUGCCCCCACUAAUUCUAGUCUAAAUAUCUUUUUUUAUCCCUGAGCCCUAGAGGAUUUGUGUAUUCAGUUUGUGGUUUUGCAAGAGUGAGAGCUCUCUGGAUUUUAGAGAUCUAUAGUUAAACAGAUAUGUUGGACUUCGAGGAGUGCUUGCGAGUGGGAAAGAGCAUUGAAGUAGCCAUGGUGAAGAUGAGUGGGAAAGAGCAAAGAAGAAACCAUGGUGUUGAAAAGAAAGAUUAGAACCCAUUUUUUUUCUUUACUCGGAAAGAAGACAGAAUUUUGAUUAAAUUUCAUGAAGGAAGUGAAUUAAAGAACUCAUUUUUUCUCAAGAGAAAGGGUUCCAGUUUGAAGCGCAACAAGCAUUCAGACCAGAAAAAUUAAAAAUGAACUGAGAUUUCCAAUACAAAGGGUUGGAUGUCUUAAUCUUUAGAGGCAUUCGCCAGUUGAGCAGAUACAUACACGUGAUUUAACACUAUAUUUCGCUAUUUUGAUACAGAGUUUUAUGAGUACAUCAACAUACCUAGGGUUAGGAUUUUGACUUGGUGUUGGAUCAUAAUUUUUCUUCUAUUAUCUGUCAGUACAAAUAUCUAUGAAAUGG